CAGCCUCCUGAGCCCCUGGGCUUACAGGUCUGUGCCACUGUGCCCAACUUCAGAUGCUUCUUUAUAAUGCGUCCACUGUCUUGGACACAAUGGGCCCAAGAAAUUUUCUCUUUGAAGAGUGGAACAAACCAAAUCAUUGGGUAGGUGUAUCUUCAAAUUUGCUGAAUUUCAAAUCCUUCAUCGUG
rnacentral:lncRNA from 1 species